UACGGGGGGAGCAAGCGUUGUUCGGAUUUACUGGGCGUAAAGGGCGCGUAGGCGGUCGUGACAAGUCACUUGUGAAAUCUCCGGGCUUAACUCGGAACGGUCAAGUGAUACUGUCGGACUAGAGUACAGAAGGGGCAACUGGAAUUCUCGGUGUAGCGGUGAAAUGCGUAGAUAUCGGGAGGAACACCAGUGGCGAAGGCGGCUUCCUGGCCUGUUCUUGACGCUGAGGCGCGAAAGCCAGGGGAGCAAACGGG
rnacentral:rRNA from 1 species